UCAAAUGUCUUACUUGUGAUUGUCAUUUUCAUUAUGUGGAGAAAACAAUGUAAAACACAUCACAGGGAUGAGGCUGGAGGUCAUGCAGCUCAAGGAAACAAGGUUGAGGACGAUGAUGCUUUGAACUAUGCAGCUCUUAGUUUUGCUCAGAAUUCCUCCUCUAGAAGAACCAGAGAAAAUAUUAGCAGC